rnacentral:rRNA from 1 species
UACGUAGGGUGCAAGCGUUGUCCGGAAUUAUUGGGCGUAAAGAGCUCGUAGGCGGUCUGUCGCGUCGGCUGUGAAAACCUGGGGCUCAACCCCGGGCCUGCAGCCGAUACGGGCAGACUAGAAUUCGGUAGGGGAGACUGGAAUUCCUGGUGUAGCGGUGAAAUGCGCAGAUAUCAGGAGGAACACCGGCGGCGAAGGCGGGUCUCUGGGCCGAUAUUGACGCUGAGGAGCGAAAGCGUGGGGAGCGAACAGG